GGGUGGUAUUGAGAACACAUUACCCUCAUUAAUUCAGUCUUUAGCUUUUGGACAGCUUUUCUUUUUCAGGAUAAAAUUCAGAGCUCGACCUGCAGCUCUACUGUUCCCAAGCUGAUUUCCUAUGUCUGUGCAUGGUCCUGUCCUGCUGGUAUCUGCUUCUCAGAGGAAACAUUGCUCGCAAGAGAGCACUGCAGGCAGGCAAUGCACAUGGAAUAGCAGAUCUGUGUUGCAAUGUGGGCUAGGAAGGAGAGUCACAGGGCAGAGAUUUUGAGUCAGCUGCUUUUAAUGUAGUGUGCAAAGAGUUCAGAAAUACUUCACUCUUUUUCUCUUCCCUUCUCACACUUCCAUGCUGUGUCAAGAAAUACAUCUAUGAAUGAGACAACUGCAUGAAAUUCAUCGACAGACUCACAAAGUCAGCUGUGAUAAUAGAACUGGAUAAACUUUCUUCAGAUGAGACCAAGAGCAAAAAGGAUUCCAAGUCAGAUUUUCAGGAAGGCAAAUUGAGUGAGUUCUGUGCUGAUUAUCAUGGGUUUCAAAUUCACUGCUGCUAUUCUGCAUCUGUCUAAUUUACUGAGUAAAAAUGCAGAGUUUUCCUCCAGAUGAACUCAGUAGCUCACUGUAGACUGCUUAGAACAAAAGCCAGAAAGUAGUGAGAAAGCUACUGCUGAUGAUGAUGGAAGCACAUCUUCAGUACAUGAAUCUACGGUACCAGUAAAAAAAUAAGAAAUGUUAGUUGUAUGUCAAUGGCUUGUAGACUCUGAAAUCAAUCGUUAGGAAGAAAUUAGGAUUGUGUGACUUAGUUAAUGAAAUAUAUUGGUUUAUUUGUUGUGUUUUUUGUUGUUUUUUUUUUAAUGCUGGUACUCCUCUUUGAUUUGCUUCACUAGAAAUGACUGUGUAAAUAUGGUUCUUGUGAGAUGUUUGUCCUCUUUUCUUAUCAUGGAAUUCUUCCAUACACAUAGAAGUGAUCAAUGAAGGCACAGCUUCAUGGCUAAUUUCUUCUUAUCCUGUGUAUUCCUAUAUUAAUAAAC
rnacentral:lncRNA from 1 species